GUCCUGUGUGCUCAUCCUUCUCCUGGCCCUACUGUGUGCAGAAAGAGCUCAGGGGCUAAACUGCUACAAUUGCACGAUGAUCCCAUUUGGUAAUACCUGCUCAUCAACUGCUACCUGCCCCUACCCUGAUGGAGUCUGCACUAUUCAGGUGGCAGAAGUUGUUGCUCUGUAAGACUGAAAGUAAAGAGCAAUCUCUGCCUUCCCGGCUGCCCCAAGAGUCCUCAAACACCUGAGGUCCUCGGUACCGUUGUCCAUGUGAAUACUGACUGUUGCAAUACAGAUCUUUGCAACGCAGCAGGUCCCACUGGAGGCAGCACGUGGACCAUGGCAGGGGUGCUUCUGUUCAUCCUGGGCUCAGUCCUCCUGCAGACCUUGCUGUGAUGGACCCUCCAAGGCCCUGCCACCCUUGUCCUUUUAUCCUUAUGUGUAAUCACUCCUUCCUGGAGCCCUCUAGUGAUAAAUUCUGAGUAAUAAAAAUUCAGAGGGGGGAUUGAGUGUGGAACACCUUGUUGCAACUCUAUAGCCACUGCUGGAUAGGUUCCCCACUCCCCUCUCUAGGGCUUUCAGAUAUGUACUUCCUAGAAUGCCAUUGUGUUGUGGUUUGCUGCUCUUGGCCCUGGAGGCAGGGGACAGCACAGGGAAGAGGCAGAAACCCAAGGCACUGUGACACCACCUCCAUCCAUACAUAAAAAUCUGGGGUUCUGCAGGGUUCCCACACAUGCCUCUGAACAUCCCCCUAUUUGAGUCCAAUAAACUCUCUGUUCUCCC
rnacentral:lncRNA from 1 species